CCGGCCACGCCAUCGCAGCGGGAGCGGUUCCGGGCGGGGGUCUGCGGGUCUGCCCCAGAGUAUCCGCGGCUCCCCACGGCAGUCCUAGUGUUGAAAACCGCGGCCCCAACCUCCCCUCCCCACCCUGCAAGGAGGACCGAGCGCCCAGCUGCGCGCAGGGGUGGCGCAGGGACGCUCUUGGCCUUAGGGCUGAGGCUGCUGCGGCGCAUCCCUGGCUCAGCCCCGCCUCUCCCGGGACCAGAGAAGCUCUGAAGACAGACUGUAAAUUCUAGGAGGUCAAGACCACGUCUUCCCAGUUAAUCUCCACGUCCAGCAUAGAGCGGUGAUGUGAUCACUUCGGUGUGGCAGCCCUGGAAGAUAUUAUAUUGGGCAGCAGGGAGAACAAAGCUCGCUGAGAUCUGAAAUUACUUUAGGAGCUUACCAAAAACUUCCGUAACGGGAAAUAUUUAUAAGGCAGUACACUUCCUUCCAAACCGUAAAGUCAUUGAAGGACAAGUAUGAGGCAUUUGAGAUUUCCAGCGUUCUCAAGCGAGUGUCCCCUGGUUGAAUUCUGGACAAUGCUGGUGAGGCUGAUUGGUUUAUCUGAAAGGUCUAUUUUGUUGUUUUAAAGUCAGAGAUUGUGAAAGGGAACAGACUGCCUGCCUGUUUCUGCCCUCCCCACUUUUAUUUCAGAAGAAGAUACUAUUAUUAUAAACAUGGUGAUUCUUAGACCAUCUCUAACUUGACAGCAAAUGAGAACGAUUCUCCCUCGCGAGCGAUGAUUCCAAGAGAGCACGGGGAUUCGUUCAUGUGCCAAAGAACAUUACAGAACCGCUGAGCUCAGGACGGGGAGAUACACACUCUUACUGUGUUUACCAGAACACAUUAUUUUGUGUGACCGUUGGGUUUACAUGUGGCCGCCUGGCUAGAUAAUCAGCUUCAUGAGCAUGUGAACUCUGCCUGCCUAUGUCCACCUUGGCAUCCCAGCACCUAGUACAGUGCCUGGCACGUAGUCGAUGCUCAAUAAAUAUUUACAGGAUAUGUAAGUGACUGAGGGAAUGGUCUGAACCAGCUCUAUGCCUUUACCUUCAUCAUAGGGGAGCUAUAACCCUAUCUCAUUUGAACUGAGAAGUCACGUGACUUUCCCAUAUAUGAUUGAAGCCAGAGUGAGAAUUUGGGUCUUCCAGACCCAGCAGAUGCCAUUGCAUUCCUCCAUUCGUGAAAUAAUGAUUUAACAAGCACCUACUACGUUUAAGAAACGGAGCCAGGCAUAGGAGCAGCAUGUUAAACAAGUCACAUGGAUUGGGUCCUCACAGAGCUUUUCGUCUUAACGGGGAAACAGAGCUCACAAGAAAGGAGAUUCCACAGCAAGGGAAAUAGACGCUGAACAAGUACACUGUCCCCAGUAGAGAGGGAGGAGAAUGUGGUUCCUGUUAGUGUUGCUGUGGGACAAGGUCCCCAAAGCGUGGUGUCUUAGGGGGGGCCUUGUGUGGUGGUAGAAAAGUUCUCUAUCUUGGUUGUGAUGGUGGUUUCAUGACUAUGCAUUUGCCAAAACUCAUCAAAUGGUACACCUAAAAGGGGUAAAUUUUAAAUUUUACUAAAUAUUAAUUGUAUCCUACUAAACUGACUUUAAAAAUUAAACAAGAAACCUUAGAGGCUGAAAGCAACCGUCGUUGAUUAUGCUCACAGAUACCAUGCACUGGCAGCAGGGAGGGACAUGGUGGAGAGAUCUGUCUCCUCCACAAAGUCUGGGACCUCGGCUGGGAAGACCCAUAGGCCGGAAGUGACCAAGUGGCUGAGGGCUGGAGUCACUAGGACGCCCCCCACCGUGUCUGGUGUCUGGGCUCUGGGCUGUAGUGACUAGAAGACAAGAAUGAAUGCCCCCUGGAGCACCUCAUUUCAGCCUCUCGACUCAGCAGCUCCUUGUGGAGUGCCCACGGUCCACCGGCACUUCUGUGGACACUAGGAUACAGGAGUUAAUGCCGUAGGCAAAUAUCCCUGCCCUGUUGUAAUCGACAGUCUGGAGAUGGAAGGCAGACAAAAACCAAUGAACAUUACAAAUAUGUAAAUUAAUGGUAUGUUGGAGGUAAUACAUGCGUGCAAUAAACAUCAUAGGCAAGGUAUGAGGAUAAGGAGGAGGGUGGGGAGAACAUUCCCUACGAAUGGCAGCUCCUGGAGUUGUGUGUGGUUGGCGGCCUUGAUUUUGUUUUGCCAACCAGAUAGUCCAAAAUGGCACCUCUUUUGGCUUCAAUUGCAUUUUCUGGUUAUCAGUGAGCUGAGAAUCUCUUCAGGUGUGUGGCAGAGAGACUGCUGGCUGGUCACCCAACAUGGUUCCUCUUUUCUUGGGCACAGUUAGACUACGUCUCCCAGGCUGGCCUGCAGUUAGCUGUGGCCUUGAAUGGAGUUCCAACCCACAGAACGUGAGCAGGAAUCAGGCCCCACGUCCAAGUCCAGCCCAGGAAAACCUCCCACGUGGAAUCUCUCACCCUCUUUCCUUCCUCCAGCUGCCCAAUUCCUGCAGCAACUUUGGAAUCACCACGUUGGAGGUGGCAGAACCUCCAACAGAACUUCACCCCCCGCUUCCCAAGCCUAGAAUUUUUGCCUUGUUUAUAUGAGCAGGAAAUGCACUUCUGUCAUGGGGUCUAUGUGUUACAGCAGCAACCCUAUCCUAGCAAAGGCAACGUGUUUAUUGGCUGUUUGGUUUCUCUCUGCUGAGGGUUGCUGCUCACACUCUUCACCAAACUUAGUACGGAGGUUGUUUAUUCUUUUUUAUUUAUCAGUAGGAGACCUUCAUAUGCUGCUUUUCAAAGCGCGGUUUGUGGACCAGCAGCAUAAACGGUGCCCAAGCCCUUGUUGAAAAUGCAGAAUCUCAGGCCCCGCCCAAACCUGCUCAAUCUGAACCUGCAUUUUCAAAGCUGCCCGGUGAUUCCUCAACGUUAAGUUUAAGAAGCACUGCCUCGAAUGUCCUCAGAUCGUCCUUCCUUUUUAUAUGCAUUGAAUUCAUCUUCUGCUAGGCUGUAGCUACCUUAGCCUUUUGGGGCUCUAUCUUCUCAUGUACAAAUUUUUUUUUUUUUUUUAAAUUGACAUCGUAGUAUUUACCAGUAUUCCCUGUUUUGGUCAGUUUGUCUUUGUCCAUUAAGAAAUACUUCUCUUCCUAAAGUCAUACAGAUACUGUGCUAUAUUUUCUUUAAAAGUUUUAGGUUUUCUUUUCAUAGAAUGUUCUUCCAUCUGGAAUUUGUUUGUUUAUGGUGUGCAAUAAUGCUCUCAUUUUGUUUUCUUAUAUGGAUGAUCAGUUAGCUCAUCACCAGCCACUGAAUUAUCCAUCCAUUCCUUCCUGAUUCGUAACGUGCCCGCAGUCAUAGGUGGUAUGUCAAGUUUCCAUACAUGUACCGUUCACAUCUCUGGUCUCCCUCUUUGAAUGUGUAACCUGCUUUUUUUUUUUUUUUUUCCAUUUAACCAUAUAUCGUGAAUGUUUCUCCACCCCAGUAGGUGUUCUUUCACAACGCAAAUGUUAACAGCUGCCCAGUACUCUGCCAUACUUAAUUUUGUUAGACAGUUACAUUAUUUUCAGUUCAACUCUAUUGUAAAUAUUGCUGGG